rnacentral:rRNA from 1 species
GCUCUUCGGAGUGAUUAAAGUGGCGCACGGGUGAGUAACACGUAGGUGACCUACCUUUUUGUGGGGGACAACUAGAAGAAAUUCUAGCUAAUACCGCAUGAGUAGCUCAAAUUUGAAAAUAGAGUUAGAAAGAAUGCCUCUUUGCAAUGCAUUCGCAAGAAGAUGGGCCUGCGGGACAUUAGCUUGAUGGUGGGGUAAUGGCCUACCAUGGCGACGAUGUCUAGCGGAUCUGAGAGGAUGAUCCGUCACAUUGGAACUGAGACACGGUCCAGACUCCUACGGGAGGCAGCAGUGGGGAAUAUUGCGCAAUGGGCGAAAGCCUGACGCAGCAACGCCGCGUGAGUGAGGAAGGCCUUCGGGUUGUAAAGCUCUGUCAAUGUAGAAAAACAGCUUAUCAUCUAAUAGGUGUUAAGUUUGAUGGUAUACAUAAAGGAAGCACCGGCUAACUUCGUGCCAGCAGCCGCGGUAAUACGAAGGGUGCAAGCGUUGUUCGGAUUUAUUGGGCGUAAAGCGGGUGCAGGCUGAUAAGUAAGUCAGAUGUGAAAUCUCGGGGCUUAACCUCGAAACUGCGUCUGAAACUACUUGUCUAGAAUCUCAAAGAGGGAAGCGGAAUUUCACAUGUAGGAGUAAAAUCCGUAGAGAUGUGAAG